UUUCACGCUGAUAAGUUAUCGGGAAACUCUUUCUUUUCAUGCUGAUAAGCUAUCGAGAAGCUCAAACAAACAUGUCUGUAAAAGCGUUGCAAGGUUCAGAUGAAUCUAUGACAAAAUGUGCAGUGUUCUCUGCACUGGGCAAUGCAGCCGCGCAAGGUUCAGAGGCCGUGUUUGUUUCCGCGGUUGCGGGCAGCGCGUAUCGCAGGCGCGCGGUCUGGUACCGCGACGAUUUUUCCGCGGUCGCGUU
rnacentral:lncRNA from 1 species